rnacentral:rRNA from 1 species
UACGUAGGGGGCAAGCGUUGUCCGGAAUCAUUGGGCGUAAAGAGCGCGUAGGCGGUCCGGUAAGUCCGCUCUGAAAGUCCGGGGGCUCAACCCCGGGAGGCGGGCGGAUACUGUCGGGCUAGAGUCCGGAAGAGGCGAGUGGAAUUCCUGGUGUAGCGGUGAAAUGCGCAGAUAUCAGGAAGAACACCCGUGGCUAAGGCGGCUCUCUAGUACGGUACUGACGCUGAGACGCGAAAGCGUGGGGAGCGAACAGG